rnacentral:rRNA from 1 species
UUCGGUGCCUUGAGCGAUGUGGUCCCACCUCUUCCCAUUCCGAACAGAGAAGUGAAACGCAUCAGCGCCGAUGGUACUUAUUCUUUAUGGAUAGGGAGAGUAGGUCGGUGCCGAAU